ACACGCAUGGUGAAGCGGUUAUCAUGCUUGCCUUCCACGAGCCGAGUCACGUGAUGAUAGCAAGCGGCAGGGGUUCGACUCCCCUUGCGUGUA